rnacentral:lncRNA from 1 species
GACGUGAUAGGUUUGUGGGGUCUUUUCAAUCCUUCGCCUUCGUCUUCGACCAUCUUUUCCCUUUGACAUCGUCAACCGUAGCCUGAUUUUUGGGGUCCACGGUGCCGCUUCUCUUAGCCGAUUCCGACUUCAACACCUUGGUUUGGAGUGUGUUUCUCCCCGUAUCAACCAUGUUAGUAGGGAAAGGAUGCUGAUCAAUCUUCAUUGGCUUUGUUGGCUUUGUCGGGACCUCAAACUUGAGUCUGUCUUACUUGAUG